UUAUCUCUCUCCGCCACUCGUACGAGCCUCGUCGCCGCCCGUGAGCUCCGGCCGUUGGUGCCUAAGCAGAGCCCCAAUCCUCCUCCGGCGACCUCUUCUCCAGCGCAGCCUCCGUGCCGGCGACCUACCAAAUAGUUUCUCCGCUGGGCUCGGCAGUAGCGCUCCCUGCCCACGGACGCGCGCGAGGAGAGACGGCGGCUCGAUCUCUCUCUUCGCGCUUCCGCCACGGCCCUUUUCUUCUCCGUUUGCCGGCGCCGCUUCGGCCCUUCCUCCGCCACCGGCAUCGUCUGCUCCUCCUCCGUGUCCGGGCACCCGAAGCAGCAGCAGCUUAAGUUGCCUUCCUUAUCUGCUGAAUUUAGCAGCGCUCGUUUUGGGGGGCUGGGUUUGUGUCAUGGAGAUACUUAACUGUAAGGGCGUUCGUUUUAGCUUGACAGGCAUCAAUGGAACCAGAGCCAACCAGUUAGUGAAGAUAGGAUCCCAACAUCAACGAGUUGGCCGGGCAAGGUCAGUAACAUGCUGUGAGUACUCUCCUGAUCCUGCUAGCAAGAAGCAUGAGAGGUAUCAGCAACAACCACAAAAUGUUGAUCUCCCAGAAUUACACCCGAAGAACAAAAAGAAGCCCUUUCCUGUCCCAAUUAAGAAGAUGUUGCAAGCUUCCCGCAAAGACAAGCGGCUUGCACAGAUGAGGAUAGAGAAGCCUCUUGAGCCCCCAAAGAACGGCUUGCUUUUACCAGAGCUUGUCCCUGUUGCUUAUGAAGUCCUUGAUAACUGGAAAAUUCUCAUCAGAGGCAUCUCUCAACUUCUGAAUGUUGUUACAGUUUAUGGUUGCAGAAAAUGCCCUCAAGUACAUGUUGGCCCAGUUGGCCACCAGAUACAAGAUUGCUAUGGCUCAGGAAGCCAGCGUCGAAAUAGUCACCACUCUUGGGUCAGAGGAUCCAUCAACGAUGUGCUCAUCCCGAUUGAAUCUUACCAUCUUUUUGACCCAUUUGGGCGGAGGGUCAAGCAUGACACCAGGUUUGACUUCGACAGGAUUCCAGCAAUUGUUGAGCUAUGCAUUCAGGCUGGUGUCGACUUACCACAAUAUCCCACAAGGAGACGGACUGCUCCUGUGCGGAUGAUUGGCAAGAAGGUUAUUGACCGUGGCGGAGUUGUCGAUGAGCCUAAGCCACACCGAUCGGAGGACUGUAUAUCUCUUCUUGCUGAGCUUGACACAUUUAGCAACCAACAGGGCCAGUCACCUGUGCCAUCCAAUGUGAAAGAGCACGCAGAGAGGACGCUGAAAGCAUACUGCGAUGUCCGUCGGGGUGUCGCACAGCUAAUGAGCAAGUACACGGUAAAAGCAUGCGGGUAUUGCUCUGAGGUCCACAUUGGUCCAUGGGGACACAAUGUGAAGCUCUGUGGGGCUUUCAAGCACCAGUGGCGAGACGGCAAGCAUGGGUGGCAAGAUGCGGUUGUCGAUGAGGUCAUACCACCCAACUACGUAUGGCAUGUCCCUGACCCUGCUGGCCCUCCUCUCAGAUCCUCUCUAAGAAGUUUCUAUGGCAAAGCUCCGGCCGUCGUCGAGCUAUGUGUGCAGGCGGGAGCUGAAAUACCUGAAGAGUACCGGCCAAUGAUGAGGACUGAUAUCAUCAUCCCAGACCCCGACGAAGCUCGGAUGGCUGCAUGAAAACAAUGUUCUGCCCUGCACUUCUGAAGUUGCCCGGAAUCCAAAUUCGAGCCAUGGGUGCUUGUCUCAUGGUUGGGCCCUCUCAAAAUUGCUCGGGCAGCGGCAAAUGCAUUGGCUGUAUUAUAAUACUAUGGCUGAACCAUGAGCAGACAUGCUCUCAAAUUGAUUCGUAGAUCUGCUAAAAGUAUUCAUCAAAAGAUGCACAACUUGAAGAAAGGAAGUGGAAAAGGAUGUCCUCCGCUACGGUGCAUAUGACCUUGUUUAAUGGCGUCAGAUGCCUUAUUCUUCCCUAUGCUAGACUGUGAGGCACUUACGAUGGCUCGAUACAGAUGGCUUCCCCCUUUCCUCUGCUGGUACCAUGCUUAAUGGCGAGCUGAUUCUUGGGAUUAAACUAAUCACCGAGAUUUGUUCGGGUAUUUGUGCGUCUGGCUGUGAUUAAUCAUGGACUAAAAGCUGUGCAACUUGUACCUGCCCCCAGAAUCCCAGAUCAUCGCUCCCGGUGCGGCUACAUGUAUACCAUCAAAUUUAUAUCGGUAUAAUGUACUCUCUCCUCUACUCUUUUGUGCUGUAUACUCUGUAACAUGGCUGCAAAAGCUGUAUCAAAUGGAUGGUUAGAGAGCCAUGAAGUAGACCUAUGUUUUCUUUCUAAAGGAUCCACGGCAGGCUAUUCAGCCAGCCUGAACAAUGCCUCCAUGGCUCUUCUCAGCAGUGAACUGCAUUUCAUAAAGCAUUUGCAGUUAUAAUUUGUA